UACGUAGGGCGCAAGCGUUAUCCGGAAUUAUUGGGCGUAAAGAGCUCGUAGGCGGUUUGUCGCGUCUGCCGUGAAAGUCCGGGCUCAACUCCGGAUCUGCGGUGGGUACGGGCAGACUAGAGUGAUGUAGGGGAGACUGGAAUUCCUGGUGUAGCGGUGAAAUGCGCAGAUAUCAGGAGGAACACCGGUGGCGAAGGCGGAUCUCUGGGCCGUAACUGACGCUGAGGAGCGAAAGUGUGGGAGCGAACAGG
rnacentral:rRNA from 1 species